CCUACGGGAGGCAGCAGUGAGGAAUAUUGGUCAAUGGACGAGAGUCUGAACCAGCCAAGUAGCGUGAAGGAUGACUGCCCUAUGGGUUGUAAACUUCUUUUAUAUAGGAAUAAAAUGUUCCACGUGUGGGUUUUUGUAUGUACUAUAUGAAUAAGGAUCGGCUAACUCCGUGCCAGCAGCCGCGGUAAUACGGAGGAUCCGAGCGUUAUCCGGAUUUAUUGGGUUUAAAGGGAGCGUAGAUGGAUUGUUAAGUCAGUUGUGAAAGUUUGCGGCUCAACCGUAAAAUUGCAGUUGAGACUGGCAGUCUUGAGUACAGUAGAGGUGGGCGGAAUUCGUGGUGUAGCGGUGAAAUGCUUAGAUAUCACGAAGAACUCCGAUUGCGAAGGCAGCUCACUAGACUGCAACUGACACUGAGGCUCGAAAGUGUGGGUAUCAAACAGGAUUAGAUACCCUAGUAGUC
rnacentral:rRNA from 1 species